rnacentral:misc_RNA from 1 species
GAUGAAGAACGUAGCGAAAUGCGAUAAGUAAUGUGAAUUGCAGAAUUCAGUGAAUCAUCGAAUCUUUGAACGCACAUUGCGCCCGCUAGUAUUCUGGCGGGCAUGCCUGUCCGAGCGUCAUUUCAACCCUCAAGCCCCCGGGCUUGGUGUUGGGGAUCGGCGAGCCUCCGCGCCCGCCGUCCCCUAAAUCUAGUGGCGGUCUCGCUGUAGCUUCCUCUGCGUAGUAGCACACCUCGCACUGGGAAACAGCGCGGCCACGCCGUUAAACCCCCAACUUCUGAACGUUUGACCUCGGAUCAGGUAGGAAUACCCGCUGAACUUAAGCAUAUCAAUAAGCGAGGA